rnacentral:rRNA from 1 species
GGGGAACCCGGCUGCAGCGAUGCGGUCAUUUGCAUUUGAAUACAUAGGAUGCAAAGGCGAACUCGGGGAACUGAAACAUCUAAGUACCCGAAGGAAAAGAAAUCAAGAGAGAUUCUCCAAGUAGCGGCGAGCGAACGGGGAGGAGCCUGGCGUGAUUUAUUAUUGAACUGAGUAGAACAAUUUGGGAAAGUUGGCGAUAGAGGGUGAAAGCCCCGUAUACGAAGGUUUGAUGAGGAACUAGGCACGCGAGCAAGUAGGCCGGGACACGUGAAAUCCUGGUUGAAGAUGGGUGGACCAUCAUCCAAGGCUAAAUACUACUUACUGACCGAUAGUGAACCAGUACCGUGAGGGAAAGGUGAAAAGAACCCCGGAGAGGGGAGUGAAAUAGAAUCUGAAACCGUUU